UUUCGUUAACAUCGAUUUUAGCAAUAACCGAUGUUAAUAUAGCGAUGUAGAAAACCUUUUUUUUAGUAGUGCUUCAUCAUUGAGAGGGAAACAAUUUGGAUCACUAACUAAGGUCCUUAAAUGACCGCUCAAUGAUGAAGGAGGCAGGGAUGCAGAGACUACCAAGAGGUUUGCCUAGAAGUGGCCACCCUUGAAAGAGUGCAUAAUAGCCCACUGAUCCAGUGCUCUUGUGCCGAAGAUGAACGGGACUAAGUGAUCUGCUGAAGUUGUGGGAUGUAAAAAUGAAUCGGUGAGGGAGCUUUCCGCCUUAGAGGGAAGGACUUGCAAGAGUAGUGCUGGAUGAAGUGGAAGUG
rnacentral:ncRNA from 1 species